rnacentral:rRNA from 1 species
CACCAGCGCCACGAGUGGGAGCCGCGAUUAUUGGGCCUAAAGCGUCCGUAGCCGAUAUGGUAAAUUUCUUGUGAAAUUGGCCUGCUUAACAGGUCAACGUGCAGGGAACACUGCCAUGUUUGGGACUGGGAGGGGUUAGGAGUAUCUUGAGGGGAGCGGUAAAAUGUUAUAAUCCUCAAGAGACUACCGGUGGCGAAGGCGCCUAACCAGAACAGAUCCGACGGUGAGGGACGAAAGCUAGGGGAGCAAA